GUGCUCUGGUGCUGAGAUUGCGAGAGGUGCCUGCAACAUUUGAUGCAUAUAAACGCAAAAGAGAGAGAAUUCAUUGCAAACUUGUACGUAGCCGUAUAUUCAUGGAAGUGAUGCAGCGGAAGGUGGGGAUGUGGAAGUUGCUUGCCUCCGGAGAAACCUUCUGGAUUUUUCAUAUUGUUUUGUUGAGUUGAGGUAUAUAUUUUGUGCCUGUUUGAUAUACUAAUAGCGAACAGAAUUAAUUUAUCAAAUCUUACAAACAUUUCUUUGGAUUCAACUGUGAUUUUCGGGCCCUCGUGUAAGAGCUGUAUGUCCAGUGGCACACGGAUGGCUGGGAAUCAACUACCCUUUGCUUUUCUAUCUGAGCCUCUGGCGGUUAUUACUUGUUGCCGCGGAACAUUGAGAAUUAAGGACAGAGAUCCUUUCUAAACCUCACUGUUCGGAGCUCAAGAACCAGACAAUCCAGACCAUUCAAAUUGAAUCUGAUGGUCCACAUUAACUCAUUCCGCUGGUCCAUCUUACACAAGUCAAAAGCUACAAUCUCUCUUUCACACAAACCAAGGAUAAGAAUUUCCUGAUCCUUAGGCUCUGGACAGUAAAGUCUGGAGGGGAUUCAAAUUCGAGAAUUACCGUCACAGGUUUAACAUAUAAACUUUGGAGUAUAAAUAUGAAGAUUUCACUGGGAUUCUAUGCCCCCAUUGAUAGAAAUGAAAGCAUAUUGAUUUUUUUAAGACAAACAUUCCAAACUACAACUGAUUCAAAUCUGAAUGCAAAAGAGCAGACAUACUCCUAUGACAAAAAAACCUUAAGUCACUUCUCUUAGUUUGUAAUUUCUUGAUUAUUCGAGUCGGAAUUUUCUUUUGAUAAGG